rnacentral:lncRNA from 1 species
UUUUCCGGAGGAGAAGAAAAUAAAGAUUUUUGGAGUAAGAAAGUAUCUAAUAAAAUAAUAGAAAACAAUAUGUUUAAAGAGUUUCGACAUUCUCACAAUACAAAAGACAUUCAGAUAAUACAUAACUCUGUUCUCUAAAAAUUGGAGCAUCUAAUUCAGUCCUGCAAAGUACUGAACUGGGACUCCACAAGCCUGUUACACAUCUGUUUAUGUAAACAUGAAAGAGCAGGCUGAGAAUCGUGGCCAUGGUUCAAUCAUUCCGGGUAGACACUGCUGGCCUCACUCCAGGGGUGCUGUGGACCAUGGUUUGAAGUGGGGUUAGUGGUGGAGACAGGACAGGCUGAGGAUUGACAGUGGUAACGUCUGCAUUUGCCCAACGGCCAGAAGUUUGUCUUGCCAUCCAAGUAAUAACCACGAUAAUAAAAACAGAAGUGAUAACAAUAAUGAUGAUGACAUAAACAGGUGAUGAAGUUGGUGUCACAGGAGAAAAAAAUAUAGAAAGACAACAUUUGUUCACUUUCACUUCUGCUAAGGCUACAGGUAUGUGAGCAGGGGAUUGCUGGAUACUCUGGAGACCCAAGAUAACCCCUCAGGACAUGCCGAAACUGGCAUAGCCUUCUCCCACCCAACAGUGGCUCGCAGAGAAGUGGGGCUCCCCAGGGAGGUUAUAAGAAAAAAAUCCCUCCUCUUCCUAGUAACCACAAGUUAGAUAAACGACGUCCAACCGAGAAAGUUGACCAACAUGAGAAUAUGCUGAGGUACCUGGGUGGCUCAGCAGUUGAGGGUCUGCCUUCGGCUCAGGUCAUGAUCCCUUGGUCCUGGGAUCAAGUCCCGCAUCGGGGUCCCCGCAGGGAGCCUGCUUCUCCCUCUGCCUGUGUCUCUGCCUCUCUCUGUGUCUUGUGAAUAAACACAAGAAAAAAUCUUAAAAAAAAAAAAUGAGAAUACACUGAAAUGGAAAUAUUUUCACUUGCAGUUAUCACUUCUUUAAUUCCUAAUGUAAAUUAUUUUCUGCUUUUGAAAACUGGUUUUGCAAUCGGUUCCUAUAAUUCUGAGAGGCAAAAAUUCCUUGAGCUUUCUUGGGACCGUAACAUGAUGGAAAGAGGGAAGUGGCUGCUCAGGUUCAGUAUCUUGGGGUUGUAUCAAGGAUCCUGACUCACAGCUCAUCACAGGAUGAUCAGCAAGGUGCCACGGCAGCAUGGGAUGGAGGAUAUAACCUGCACGAUCACUUUGUGAUGGGACAGCUGUGUGAAUAGCUGUAGACGAUUGGGGUAGGAAGCAAAGACCAAAGCAUUUUAUGAUCACUGCGGUUACAUGAAGAGGAAGUGGACUGCAGGAAGUGGAUAGUAGCCAGAAAGCAUUAAAAUCUUUAAUCAGGAAUUUCAAAUGGAUAUGAGAAGUACCUAAAUAAGGGGAAUACAUUUCCCCUUCACCCUCUCUAAUUGUUUCAUGACGAAUCAAAGCAUUAAAAUGCAGUUCUCUGAUGUGAUUCAUUAUAACAAGUUUCAUGGGUGUCAAAUCAAUUCAUUUUUUAAAAGACAUUAAAAACAGGAUUUAGAGGACGAAAUCCUUUAAAACCAUCACAAUGUAUCAUUGUGUGUGUAUAUGUGUGUGUACACAUAUGCAUACAAGAAUUAUCUUGUGCAUUUAUAAUGAAUAAGUUCAACAAAUAUAUAGAUGGAAAUCUAUUUUAUGAUGAAACCAUGCACUCUCAUUACCUGGUUAAGUAUUAAAUAUCCACCCUCAUCAAUUUCAUGAAAAUGCAUUUAUGUCGUUUCCACAUGGUGCUUGCUGAGGGCUAUAAAAGCAAGUGAUAUAGCGAGUCGUCAGCCCAUUAUUUAGUAUCUUUCCAGGCACAUAUGAAGCUUACACUCUAAGAAUAGUGUUAACACCAACAUAUUAUAUGGUUCAUAGAACUGUGUCUCUUGAGUACUGGAAGAGAUACUAUGCAGUAGGAAUUAAAAAUUAAUGUAGCAUCCUUCAUGCAAUGGCACCAAAACACAACUCUCCAUAAAAAUUAUGGAUCUUCACUUUCUAUAUCAAUUUCUAAAUUUUUCUAUUUUGUUAAAUUUCCUGUGGGUUUCACAAGUAAAGACCAAUAUUAGUCACAGAAACCUGGGGUGUAAGAUAUCAUUAUUCCAACUAGCCUAAUCUAGGCUGGCUUCCACUAUGUGAGGGAUUUAUAAAUUUGAAAUGGAAACUAAUUGGAAAGCAGAUAUGCUCUCAUCUGAAUUUCUGAUGAUGCCAUUUUGCAGGCCAAGCUUCCUUUUAGGCAAGGAAUUUUGUCCUUUACAUCAGGCCUCAAAUAGCUCCAUCUAUUUAGCCACCAUCAUCAGAAAUUCUGAGACAUGCCAGAGCUCAGAGUGAAACAGGUGCAUCUGCAUACAGCCGUCUGAGGGAUACACACCCAGCCCCAAGCACAGCUGGGAUCUGGUAAUAAAUGCUUGGCAGGCUGGCAUUUAUCAACUGUGUCCCUAAUCUCAGAGAUAACCAAGCAGAAUACCAUGGCCACCUGCCAUGAACUCACAGCCAUAAGUUUUCUGGCCUGGGCUUUGUCCUGAUAGGUCCAUGGGUAGCACUAAAACACACACAAAAAAGGAUAAGGUGGGACAAGGCUAGGAAUGAAUGAAAGUUACAGUUAUAUAGACAGUAUGGAACUAAACAUGGUCUGUAGUUCUUAUUUGGAGACCUGAAACACAUGGAUGUAAUUAAUUAUCAGUGUCAGAAAAUCUUUUUCACUCCUGGCAAAGGGCAAAGAAGUCUAUUACUCUGAGAAAGUUUAAUUUUAAUCUUAUGUUGGGACUGCUAGCAAAACUAUUCAAACAAUCACAUGAAACCAGAAUCUGCAUGUCUUUUGACUCUGACACUGGCUAAAAGGUAUUGCUAGGCUUUUCUCACUAAAUAUGAACAAGAUUACCAAUGGGUUAUAUCCUGGUAGGCCUACCUUCUACUUUCAUGUCAAAUUUUAAAAUAAAGCAUUUUAUAACCUGAAAGAGCCUCAGCCUUGUCUUAAACAAGUUAUAGUCUACAUUCUAAAAUUAAAAAUGAAAUCGUAUACACAGAAGUGAUAUAGAAAUCAGAACCAAAAAA